rnacentral:rRNA from 1 species
CAGCCGCCACGGUAAUACGUAGGUGGCAAGCGUUGUCCGGAAUUAUUGGGCGUAAAGGGCUCGCAGGCGGUUUCUUAAGUCUGAUGUGAAAGCCCCCGGCUCAACCGGGGAGGGUCAUUGGAAACUGGGAAACUUGAGUGCAGAAGAGGAGAGUGGAAUUCCACGUGUAGCGGUGAAAUGCGUAGAGAUGUGGAGGAACACCAGUGGCGAAGGCGACUCUCUGGUCUGUAACUGACGCUGAGGAGCGAAAGCGUGGGGAGCGAACAGGAUUAGAUACCCCCGUAGUCCCUGUCUCUUAUAA